CAGCCGCCGCGGUAAUACGAAGGGGGCUAGCGUUGCUCGGAAUGACUGGGCGUAAAGGGCGCGUAGGCGGUCACGAUAGUCAGAUGUGAAAUUCCUGGGCUUAACCUGGGGACUGCAUUUGAUACUGUGUGGCUUGAGUAUGGAAGAGGGUCGUGGAAUUCCCAGUGUAGAGGUGAAAUUCGUAGAUAUUGGGAAGAACACCGGUGGCGAAGGCGGCGACCUGGUCCAUAACUGACGCUGAGGCGCGAAAGCGUGGGGAGCAAACAGGAUUAGAUACCCCCGUAGUCCCUGUCUCUUAUAC
rnacentral:rRNA from 1 species